AACUGGUUAAACAGUAGAGGCCGCCAUUGCUACUUGUUGCAUUGUUUUUGCACAUUUGUGUUAAGAUUGUGCAGGGGACUACUAGUAUACAGAUGAAGUUAAUAGCAUGAAUUUUUGAAUCACCUGCACAAUUCACUUCUGCUUUGUGUGGAUCUAGAUGGACCUCAGCAAGCAAAGAAUGUGCAUUCUCUUUGGAAACGCAUUAGUGUUUCAGCCAGUGAUCACCAGUACAUGUGACAAGUAGAGCUAGAAGUGAGCAACAUACAUUUCUGGGAACUUGAGUUCUUUUACUUUCUGAGUCAAAUAUCACAGAGUGCAAGGCCUAGGUUGCUAGUGCCACACCCUUCUGCCAGCUAUCAUG